AGAAGCGUGGUAGGGUAAACACAUUUUCUCGCCUCACAACUCUUUCCUCAACUUCCCUUCCAUCGAUCAUCUCAACACCUUCUCCUCCGAUAUCGUCUCCGCCGUCCUCGCCGACGGCAGCGCUAACGGUGGCCCUAAACUCUCGGCGGCUAAUGGCGUCUGGAUCGAUAAGUCUCUGUCCUUCAAACCUUCCUUCAAGCAGCUCUUGGAUGGUUCCUACAAAGCUGCUUCUAAUCAAGCAGAUUUUCAGACAAAGAUGAUAUGAUUGUGACAGGAACUAAGGCAAGCGUGAUUGAAGAGUUCAAAGCAGCCAUGAAGAUUGCAAUUCAGUAAGAAAUCCUAUUGUCCCAGGGACAAAACUAACGAAGGAAGACUCUUCUGGGAAGGCUGAUGCAAAUCUUUAUUGGCAGAUGGUGGGCUGUUUGAUGUACAUAGCAGCCACAAGACCUGAUUUGAUGUUUGUGUUGGGGAUGAUCAUCAGGUUUAUGGAAAGCCCCACGCUAAUUCAUCUAGGAGCAGUGAAAAGAGUCCUUCGAUAUGUGAAAGGAACGGUGGAUCUCGGAGUUCAUUACAAGAGGAAUGGGAGCAACAAACUUGAAGCAUUUUCAGACAGUGAUUAUGCAGGGGAUUUGGAUAGCAGAAGAAGUACAUCGGGUUAUGCAUUGUUCUUAAGUAAUGCAGUCAUCUCUUGGUUCAUUGCAAGACACAGUUACAGGUUGCAAACAUCGUGACCAAACUCUCUGGUGAUCUCAAGGUGGUGUUCUUCACAAACUCAGGGACGGAGGCAAAUGAAUUGGCGUUUUUUUCUUGAACUAUGAUGAGACACAAUGUUGAUCUGUGUUUUGACAUUUGUUUUUGUUCUUUUGUUGCUUGAAGACUGGAACUCACCACGCAUUAAACCCGGAUCCAUAUAGAGGUGUGUUUGGUUCUGAACUUUUGAAUAAGUUUAUCUUGUUCCAAUUUCUUAAGAGUUAGCUUUGCUUCUGUCGUUUGUAAGUGACUAUAUAAAGAGCCAUGCUCUGUUUUUCAAUGAAUAAGC